rnacentral:lncRNA from 1 species
CGUGGAUUCUCAGCUUCUGCCCUGUCUUUGUCCGGUCUUCUACCCUGGACGCGGAACUGCCUGCCCGGGAUGUGGCCUCCGAGCAGAACUCGCCCCGGGCAGGUCGGACUUGGCGUCAGCCCGCAGCUCGACGGCCCCUCUUCGUCCUCCUUUCUGGUCUUGGAUGUCCUGACCCAGUUUCCACGCGGAGCACCCCGUGUCUGGAGGCGGGACUGGACAGGACGCGGGAGACUGGCAAUGACUGCCGGGCCAGGCUGCGACUCAUUGAAGGUGUUUGAGAGCAGGAAGUGAAGAGGAACUGAUAUCAGUAGGACUUCCGAAUGAAAGGAACAACCAAACAAAACAAAUAGUCUAUUUUCACCUCAAUUAUUUAUCAUUGCUUUAAUCUGUAAUAAGGUCAUGUCAGAAUAGACAAUGAGCCCUAUAAAGGAUAGGAAUAAAUAUUGUGAUUGGAGGUGAUAGCAUUGCUUUCUUGAGCAACUAAAGAUGAAACAACUAUAAAACUGUUAGAACUAUUGGCAAUUUACUAGUUACUGAUUAAAUAUAUAUGAUUUACAUAAUAAAAUACAUUAUUGGACUAAAAUUGCAUUUUCUGGGAAACUAUAUAUUAGAUAUUGCAGGAUAGGCUUAAUGCCAUGUGCAGGAUCCAUAUAAGAACACUUAAAAGUGUUUCCUGGGGCUUCCCUGGUGGCGAAGUGGUUGAGAGUCUGCCUGCCGAUGCAGGGGACACGGGUUCGUGCCCCGGUCCGGGAAGAUCCCACAUGCCGCGGAGCGGCUAGGCCCGUGAGCCAUGGCUGCUGAGCCUGUGUGUCUGGAGCCUGUGCUCCGCAACGGGAGAGGCCACAACAGUGAGAGGCCCGCGUACCGCAAAACAAAAACAAAAACAAAAACAAAAACAAACAAACAAAAAAAAAGUGUUUCCUGAUGAAGUGACAAAGGUGUCACCUUCAUGGAUAUAUAAAUAACAUUGUUGGAUUGAAGACUCCUCAGUUCAAAGAUGCAGGUUUCUCUAAACCUAGCCAUAAAAUUUAG